UCGUGAUAACGAGUACUGAGCGAAACGGCAUCACUGCAGAAUUUGCCUUCUCUCUUUCUCUCUAAGCUGUCAUUGGAAACACAACAGAGAAUGUAUCGAGAGUCAAAUUGUAAACAGAUUCAGCAUACAGACAAACUAGCCGCCGCUGGUAUCAUACAUAAACUGACUGAUGGAAUCAUUAAACUGUAGCGCACUCAAUAACCCAACAACAUCUUUAUCAAGAACAUUGAAGCUCAAGACGCAAACAAACUCUACCGUCUCAACUGUUAAUGUUGUCGAGGCCAGGUAUUGCAGAAUGCGAUAAUGAUAGUUGAGCUGAUUGCAACCAAAUAUCCGAUGAUGAAAUUUACAUCUCUUGAGAUGUACCUGAUGACGAUAGAUAUCACCCGAUAGCGUUGGAAACGGUCGUGCUGGGUCCUACGGCGAGACUAUGAAGAAAUAUUGCGAAAAUUCAAAACUGAAAUAAUUAAUUAUUGAUAGUCGAAAUGUUUAGCUUUAGAUUGUUUACCAUACAUGUUAGUCAAUUCGUUUAAAGUAUUUAUAAUGUAGCGUCGGGGGU